rnacentral:rRNA from 1 species
GACGAACGCUGGCGGCGUGCUUAACACAUGCAAGUCGAACGAUGAAGCGGUGCUUGCACCGUGGAUUAGUGGCGAACGGGUGAGUAAUACGUGAGUGACCUACCUUUGACUCUGGGAUAAGCCUGGGAAACUGGGUCUAAUACCGGAUACGACCAAUCUCUGCAUGGGGUGUUGGUGGAAAGCGUUAUGGAGUGGUUUUAGAUGGGCUCACGGCCUAUCAGCUUGUUGGAGAGGUAAUGGCUUACCAAGGCGACGACGGGUAGCCGGCCUGAGAGGGUGACCGGCCACACUGGGACUGAGACACGGCCCAGACUCCUACGGGAGGCAGCAGUGGGGAAUAUUGCACAAUGGGCGCAAGCCUGAUGCAGCGACGCCGCGUGAGGGAUGACGGCCUUCGGGUUGUAAACCUCUGUUAGCAUCGAAGAAGCGAAAGUGACGGUAGGUGCAGAGAAAGCGCCGGCUAACUACGUG